AGAGUCCACUACGAUGAAGGCAUAGCGCGCCACAUCGCCCCCGAGCCGUGCGCGGGCAUCCGCGAGGCGGUCAGCGAAGCGUCGGCAGGGGAAUGUGUAGGCCAGCCUAUAAGGAACCUCCAUGAUUUAGCAAGAUAGGUUUGCGGGAAUCGACGAUGCUCCUUUGUCAUUGCGCUGUCGGAGUACU
rnacentral:ncRNA from 1 species